GCUCAUUUCUGAUCAUGUUCGACAACUGGAGCAAUACAGAGAAGAAUAGCAUGGUCCUUGCGCAAGGAUGACACGUACAUUCGUGAAGCGUUCCAAGAAAGU
rnacentral:snRNA from 1 species